AUGGCUCAGCCAAGAGGUCUGGAAGAGAUCCAGGAAGAUGCUGCGGGGGACAGAUUCACCAACAUCAUCAAGAGCCGCGCUGGUCUUCAGCUGUUCCUGUGGGCCUGUGUCUUGAGUUCACCAGGCAGCUUUCUUGCAGCAGAAAAUUUGGUCUUACCUGUGGUCCUGAGGCUCAAGUUCGCUAGUGGGGUGCUGCCCAGGGGCUCUCUGCAGCGGCAGCAACCAGGAAGACCUGUGCCGCCCCUUCCGGGAGCUUCAGUGCACCAGGGUUCCAGAUGGUCUUUGGCUUUUUCCUCUGGCGUCCGAGAUGUUCCUGCGGUGUCUCAGGCAGGUGUCCUGCUGCUCCUGGGCCCUCCCCCACGGGAGCCCAGAGGUCUUAUACAAUUUCCUCUUGGGCCAGGGAUGUGGGCAGGGAAUCCACUUCUCCUUGGAGAGGGUAUAACCCUAUUUGAGUAUCCUCCUAUCCUGGCACAAGAAGUCUCUUCAGGGUUAAACACAUCUUCUCCCACUGAAGGCAGUCAAGGCAGCCCAGUUAGGAGAACAGAUUCUAGAGACCAGAAACAGCCCCCUGAGUCAUUUGUUUGGGGAACCACAUGGAGACUGACCACAUCUACUACAUACAUGUGA
rnacentral:lncRNA from 1 species